CGAACGAACUAGCAAUAGUUAGUGGCGAACGGCGGAGUAAUACAUAAGUAACGUGCCCUAAAGACCGGGACAAACGCAGAAAUGUUAUGAAUACCGGAUAUGGCCGAGCCUUGGCAUCAAGGUUCGAUUAAAUGGUUUUUCGCUUUAGGAGCGGCUUAUGACACAUCAGGUAGUUGGUGGGGUAAUGGCCUACCAAGCCGACGACGUGUAGGGGGUCUGAGAGGAUGAUCCCCCCGAGUGGGACUGAGACACGGCCCACACACCUACGGGUGGCAGCAGUUGGGAAUCUUGCACAAUGGGGGAAACCCUGAUGCAGCGACGCCGCGUGGAGGAUGACGGAUCUAGGUCUGUAAACUCCUUUUUCAGGGAAAGACUUAGGACGGUACCCUGAGAAUAAGCUCCGGCUAACUACGUGCCAGCAGCCGCGGUAAGACGUAGGGAGCAAGCGUUGUCCGGAUUUACUGGGCGUAAAGGGCGCGUAGGCGGUCUGUUAAGUGAGUACUAAAAUCUCCAGGGCUCAACCCGGAAACCGGUUCUCAUACUGACAGACUUGAGGAAGGCAGAGGUAACUGGAAUUCCUGGUGUAGCGGUGAAAUGCGUUGAUAUCAGGAGGAACUCCAAUGGCGAAGGCAGGUUACUGGGCCUUAUCUGACGCUGAGGCGCGAAAGCGUGGGUAGCAAACAGGAUUAGAUACCCUGGU
rnacentral:rRNA from 1 species